rnacentral:rRNA from 1 species
ACCGAACGCUGGCGGCAGGCCUAACACAUGCAAGUCGAACGAACCUUUCGGGGUUAGUGGCGGACGGGUGAGUAACACGUGGGAACGUGCCUUUAGGUUCGGAAUAACUCAGGGAAACUUGUGCUAAUACCGAAUGUGCCCUUCGGGGGAAAGAUUAAUCGCCUUUAGAGCGGCCCGCGUCUGAUUAGCUAGUUGGUUGAGGUAAUGGCUCACCAAGGCGACGAUCAGUAGCUGGUCUGAGAGGAUGAUCAGCCACAUUGGGACUGAGACACGGCCCAAACUCCUACGGGAGGCAGCAGUGGGGAAUCUUGCGCAAUGGGCGAAAGCCUGACGCAGCCAUGCCGCGUGAAUGAUGAAGGUCUUAGGAGUGUAAAAUUCUUUCACCGGGGACGAUAAUGACGGUACCCGGAGAAGAAGCCCCGGCUAACUUCG